rnacentral:rRNA from 1 species
UACAGAGGUCCCAAGCGUUGUUCGGAUUCACUGGGCGUAAAGGGUGCGUAGGUGGCGAAGUAAGUCGGAUGUGAAAUCUCCGAGCUCAACUCGGAAACUGCAUUGGAAACUACUUUGCUUGAGGGUCGGAGGGGGGACUGGAAUUCUCGGUGUAGCAGUGAAAUGCGUAGAUAUCGAGAGGAACACCAGUGGCGAAGGCGAGUCCCUGGACGACUCCUGACACUGAGGCACGAAAGCUAGGGGAGCAAACAGG